GCCUGAGUUGUCAUUCUUGCAAAACGAAACAACACUGAGUCCCGCGUCGCUCUGCUCAACUCUUUUCGGAGCCAGUAUCUUUUCACUUUGUGGUAGCUUUUCAUCGCUUAUACACUAAUGAGCCGGCAAGCGUUAGCUUAAACAUGUAAAGGUAGCUCUGAAAGCACGUAGGAAAUGAAAAAUGUAAGCUGCAGCUGUUCUGUAGACGACAAGCAUGGUUGAUAUAUGACCACAGUCCGAAAUUAACUAACUAAGGUAGCUUACCCACAGUAUUUUGUCUGGUAAUAAUUCAGAAUUGACACUAAUCAUCAAAAUAUAUUUAUUUUAUAAUUGUACAGCGGGUUAUACUUCACCUAUUUUGCAAAUAAUGAUUGAUUUAAGAAACCUUUCAGCCUUUUGUUGGUCAUUUCUAUAGUAAUAAUGAGGCUUUAUUUAAAUAUAAAAUGAGUUUUCGGGGAUCUGAUUUGAGUCGUUAUCUUAACCCAAAUUACUAAGGAUUAUUGAACAAUUACCUCUUCUUAAAACAAAUUUACAAUUCGUGAAUAUUUUUUUUGGCAGUUUUUUUCUAUCUGAUGUUGGUGUGACUUGGAAUAGGGCCUAACUCCUUGGGGACCUCAUAUUGUUUUGAAGAUACAUGCUGACUUCCAACGCAUUACAACCAUCCCACUGGAAUCUACAUUCAUGGCACAGUUGAAGAGCCAUUUUGCCCAACUGACGUCUAUCUUCCAGACGAAGGGUGGAGUUGCUGGCCAGAAGCUAUCUAAAGAUCUUGCAAGAGGUAAAUAUGUAUACCAAUUGCCAUACUGUUGAGCUACUUUAUGAAAUAUGCCUGUCUACUACCAUUAGAGCUUCAUUUGCCUCACUACAGCCUGGACUAUUUUCAAGGUGCGCAUUUACUCAAGGAAAUCUGAUGCCAUGGCAUACAGGUUAGACAAGCAGGAAAGGACAGAGCAGCACCUGCCUUGAGCAGGGCCAGCAGGAGACAAGUGAUGUCAACCUUAAAUCCUUAUGCUGCGUUCACAAAAAAAAGGGGUGCAAAUCUUUUGUGCGAGUAGAUCUCAUGCAAAGUCAAUGCACAGAUGUGAUUUUUCGCCGGGCGGCGCAAAAAAAUCGGCAGAGUUGAAAUAUUUCAAUUUGCGAAUAUUCGCAACGCUUUUGGUGUGACCACAGCAUAAAGGCUCUUUGCAUCCACCUGGGUGAGGAUGAGGGGCAGCUUGGAUGAGGAUAAGAAACAGCUCUGAUGAGGAACAGCUCGUUCGGGAGUAUAUGGAUAUCAAAGGAGACGACAUCCUGAGAGACCUGCAAAAGUGGAGCAUGGGCAUAUGUCAUCAACAAGGAGGAGAAAUGGGACAUUGUGAUGACGUUGAAGGACUAAUUAUCCUCGACAACUGGAUCUGUGGCCCGAGCUUGUGCAAAGUUUCUGGAAGUAAUCUAUGCUCAAACAUGGCUUACCCCAAAGAGCUAAGAUACUACUAUGAAUUCAUUCAGAAAGUGCUCUUUCGAAUGCAUGGGGAAAAUCUUUCCCCCCAAAUCCUCGGACUAAAGAACAACAUAUAUGCUGGACUGUAGGAAAUCUUCAGCUGCUCUUGUAAACUGGUGCCAUUUAAAGCAUGGCAAAAAAAAAAA